rnacentral:rRNA from 1 species
UACGAACCGUACAAACGUUAUUCGGAAUCACUGGGCUUAAAGGGUGCGUAGGCGGCUUUCUAAGUCGGAUGUGAAAACUCUGGGCUCAACCCAGAGCCUGCAUCCGAAACUGGAGAGCUAGGGUUCUGGAGGGGAAAGCGGAAUUCCUGGUGUAGCGGUGAAAUGCGUAGAUAUCAGGAGGAACACCGGUGGCGAAGGCGGCUUUCUGGACAGAUACCGACGCUGAGGCACGAAAGCUAGGGGAGCAAACAGG